AGUCCUCCUGGUGAAUCUCCGGGCAAGUUUCUCUCCCUCUUCUAUCUCCCUUUUAUUUGAUCACUCUGUUUUUUUUCUUUUUUCUUUUUUUUUUGGCUACAGAUAACUAAAAUGAUUGCGGUCCUGAUUUACCAGGGUUUUUAGACAGGAAAUACUACUAAUGGUUUUGAUGGCCGAAAUGCUCAUUUCACCGUUGCCUAUUGACACUAAACACUAGUGCUUUUUUUUGGGGGGGAAGGUUCACUAAACAUUAAUUUAAACUGUAACAUAUAUUUAAGCUUGUUCUUGAAUUUAGAUUACAGUUUGUGUGUGGCUUAGUCUUCGGUAGUAAAUCACUAAUCCACACAUCAAUCUGAUUCUUCCCUCCCUAAGUACUACUCCAUGAAGAUUAUCCAUGCAUGCUAAUUCUCUGAAUGCAAUGCAGCUCCGUCAUCGCCACCACCAAAAUCACCAUCGGUGCCGUCUCCGGCGCCGGUCGCUCCUUCACCAGCCCCAGUCUCUCCACCACCAGCGGCCCCACCGGUCUCUCCAGCUCAGCCACCUGUUGUUCCAGCCCA
rnacentral:lncRNA from 1 species